GACCUUGUAGCUCAGACGGUAGAGCAUCGUUCAAGAUAAUUAUACGAAGGUCGCGGGUUCCAAUCCCAGCCGCGGUCA